rnacentral:lncRNA from 1 species
UUUUGAAAUUUUAUCUGGCUAAAACCUUUAACGAGUUCUAUACUGAAUUUUGCUUGAGGACAAGCAAAGAUCUAAGUAUGGGGGAGUUUGAUAACACGAAAUUAUAUCAUAUUUUAGGACUUAAUUCAAUUAAAUUUUAUUAUUAUUUAUUUCAGUUCACUUCAUUUUAUUAGAUAUUACGCGGUAUUUUCUUCCUAUUUGUCUCAGGUGGCUUAUUUUGAAGCACAAGUAAAAAUGGAAGAAAAGGAGGUGCAAAAAGGAGAGAAAAUGAACCAAAUGUCAAAGCCCAGCCCAAAGCACAAAACGCAGGUGCCGUGCAUGUGACGGACGUCACAGAGGGCGUGACGAGCGUCACGCCUUGCACACUCCUGUGACGGACGUCACACAUGGUGUGACGAACGUCACACCAUUCCCCUACAUUUUUGGCGCAAGGAACGCCUCAGAGACGUUGAGCGUUGAGGGAGUGUUGAGCCCUAUAUCCACGCCAUGCUUUUAUGCACGUUGAAGACCUUUUUGGCAGCGGAAGCGGUUACUCAAGCAUAUAUAAAUAGCCACUUGCAAAACCAAAAAGGGUUCCGAAGCUUUUCCACAUUUUUUCCUUUGCCGUUUUCGCUUUUGCACAUUUUCUUUUCCAGCAACUUAAGCAGUAUUGUUUCUUUAUUAUUUUUACGAGUUCUACACUAUUUCCCUUGCAAUUUCUAUUUUCCUUUUUAGCAUUUAGUUAAUUCUUUUCGCACAAUAGUUUCUACACCGGAAACUAUUGUGUACCUUUUUACCGGAUCUAACCUUACGUUAGAAUCUAGUUUUUAUUUCCUUCGUUUUAAUUUAUUGUUUAAUUGAAGAAUCCAAGAACAAAUCCUACCGGCUUGUGGUGGAGUGUUCAAGACUAUUGUUUAACUCAUUCAGGUUCUUUAAUUAUUAUUUAAUGCUUUGUUUUAUUAUUUA